rnacentral:misc_RNA from 1 species
UCCGGUUUGGCACCGGCGGUCUCCUACGAGUCCCCGGCAUUACCCGCUGGCAACAUAGGAAAGGGGUUGCGCUCGUUGCGGGACUUAACCCAACAUCUCACGGCACGAGCUGACGACAGCCAUGCACCACCUGUUCACGGCGCCGAAGCACACGGGCUUUCACCCGCUUUACCGUGAAUGUCAAGCCUAGGUAAGGUUCUUCGCGUUGCAUCGAAUUGAGCCACACGCUCCGCCGCUUGUACGGGCCCCCGUCAAUUCCUUUGAGUUUUAAUCUUGCGACCGUACUUCCCAGGCGGGGUACUUAAUGCGUUAGCUGCGGCACUGCAGGGGUCAAUUCCUGCAACACCUAGUACCCAUCGUUUACGGCGUGGACUAC